AUUGAACGCUGGCGGCAGGCUUAACACAUGCAAGUCGAGCGGAGAUGAGGUGCUUGCACCUUAUCUUAGCGGCGGACGGGUGAGUAGUGCUUAGGAGUCUGCCUAUUAGUGGGGGACAACAUUCCGAAAGGAAUGCUGAUACCGCAUACGUGCUACGGGAGAAAGCAGGGGAUCUUCGGACCGUGCGCUAAUAGAUGAGCGUAGGUCGGAUUAGCUAGUUGGUGGGGUAAUGGCCCACGAAGGCGACGAGCCGUAACGGGUCUGAGAGGAUGAUCAGGCACACUGGAACUGAGACACGGUCCAGACUCCUACGGGAGGCAGCAGUGGGGAAUAUUGGACAAUGGGCGAAAGCCUGAUCCAGCCAUGCCGCGUGUGUGAAGAAGGUCUUCGGAUUGUAAAGCACUUUAAGUCGGGAGGAAGGGCUGUAGGCUAAUACCUUGCAGUUUUGACGUUACCGACAGAAUAAGCACCGGCUAACUUCGUGCCAGCCGCCGCGGUAAAAC
rnacentral:rRNA from 1 species